AGUAUGUUCGUGCGCUCUUUCAGUUUUUGUAAACCACUCAAGAGAGUUUCACAUGUAACGGCCGCUCUUAAGUUCUCUUUAGCAAAAAUUCUCAUCCCCCAGUUUGCGCUCCAAUUUUCACUCACUUCGUCUUUCACAGCUGAUUCUUUUGCUCUCAGCUGGAGCUGGUCGGCGAAACAUAUUAACUGGAACAGGCUCUCUUAUUGGCUUUUCCUGCUAAAAAGUGCCAUAAUUAUAGUUAUUUGCUGCAUUUUUAAAUGCACUGAACGUUAAUUAAUGGUUUGCUAUAUUAUUAAGCUGAUUUUCAUGCAUUUAUCGCACAGCUCUCUGUCUCUCGCUGCUCAAAACUUGCAGUAAUUUUACUGGCUCUCCCGCUGCUCUUUCAUUGGGCUUGCAGCUGUUUCGCUCAUCAGAUGUUUCUGAGUCGAGCCUCCCACUGCCCCCCGCACCGACACAAACCAGCAGCACUAUGUGCAACUGUAUGUGUAUUUGCAUUGUGUACACAAAAUCAGCCGCUGCCCUCUGUCGACGUCUCUGCGGGCAGCGCAGCUCCAAGCGCAGCCAGUGAAAUACAUACAUUCGUACGUACGUACGUACAUAUCUAUAUAUCUUGAUUUUCCAACUCGUUUCGCGCAGUCAACGCGCCCCCCAAAAACACACACACACACACUUUCAUAUAUGUAUGCAGCAGUAC
ensembl:ncRNA lncRNA:CR44715 long non-coding RNA:CR44715